UUAGCCAAGGAUAUGUAGGCAACCUCCAAAGCAGGGUGCGGUCAAACUUUUCAAAAAUGCUUCACACGGAAUAUUCAAAUGGCCAAAAAUCACUCGUUUUCGCUCACUUAUCUUUGCACGAAAACUCUUCGUAUUUCUGGGCAAAGAGGGGCAGCUGUGAGCAUGUGAUUUUUGACCUAAGCAAGUUAUUCUCAAAAAUUAAAACAAAG
rnacentral:lncRNA from 1 species